rnacentral:rRNA from 1 species
UACGAAGGGGGCUAGCGUUGUUCGGAAUCACUGGGCGUAAAGCGCGUGUAGGCGGACUGUUAAGUCGGGGGUGAAAUCCCGAGGCUCAACCUCGGAAUUGCCUCGAUACUGGCAGUCUUUGAGUCCGGGAGAGGUGAGUGGAACUCCUAGUGUAGAGGUGAAAUCGUAGAUAUCGGAAGGAACACCAGUGGCGAAAGCGGCUUCCUGGUCCGAGCACCGACGUCAGGCACGGAAAGCGUGGGGAGCAAACAGG